UAGGGACCAGAGACUUCCCUGUCCGCUCAGGGAAAUAUCGCUUCAGACUGCGUCGGUGGCCAGGUCUGCAGUGACAGUCACGAAGUAUCACAGCUCAAUG
rfam:Methanolobus tindarius DSM 2278 MettiDRAFT_Contig28.1_C, whole genome shotgun sequence.